UGAACCUGCAGAAGGAUCAUU
rnacentral:rRNA from 2 species